GUCUGCAGCCAUGCCACCCUGAACAAGCCGGAUCCCGUCUGAUCUCAGAAGCUAAGGAGGGUCGAGCCUGAUUAGUACUUGGAUGGGAGACCACCUAGGAAAACCAGAUGCUGUAGGCA
rnacentral:rRNA from 1 species